rnacentral:tRNA from 1 species
GAGACAGUAGCUCAGUCGGUAGAGCAUCUGACUUUUAAUCAGAGGGUCCCGGGUUCGAAUCCCGGCUGUCUCAC